UGCAUUUUCCUCCUUUAGUAUUUUGCUGACAUCCUGAUCCAGCAUAAUACACACGCGCCUCCCGAAUAAAACUUCCUUCUUACGAUUCUUUCCUUCGUUCUUUUGUUUUCUUUCUAAACAAUCAACACAAUCAGCUCCCCCAGAAAAUAGAUAUGAACCCUAACCCCUUCCUUCUCCUUCCUGCUGCCGAUAUGCAUAACCCCAUCGUUCCCGAUUCCCCAUCAACUCUCCGCGUCGACCAUUUGUCGUUCAUCACCAAAACAAAAGGCAUUGGUUACACGACUUGUUAAAGAGGAAACCGGAAAGACGACAUUAGCAAUCGGCGAUGGAGCUAACGAUGUCGGAAUGAUUCAAGAAGCCGACAUCGGAAUCGGAAUCAGUGGAGUUGAGGGAAUGCAGACGAUUAUGUCGAGCGACAUCUCAAUUGCUCAAUUCCGGUUUUUGGAACAAUUGCUAUUAGUCCAUGGACAUUGGUCUUACUGAAGAAUUUCUUCAAUGUUAAGAAUUCUGUAAAAAACAAAAUCCCCAAAUUUGAUGCACAAGGGUCACCGGUCACGCGUUGAUGUGAAUUCAUUGAGGAAGAUCCAUGGGUACCGUUGCAUUUUACAGGAUUUUGGACUCCAUGUAUCCACCCACAAACACAGUUACCCUCUGCAUUAUCUGCCGAUUCUCAUUUUCUAAUCGCAAUUAUUCGUCGACAGUUUCAUCGGUUUGUAAUUCAUUCAUCUCCCUUCUCUUGCAUCACCAAUUUGCGAUCGUCGAAACCCUAAUCUUCCAUCAUCAACAAUUAACAACCGUCAGUUACAAUAAAGGCAGUUCCUGUUGUGUUUUUGUAAACUUCAUGUAUUCACAUCACCAAAAGAUGUAUAUAUUGAUGGUAUUUUUCGGAAAUUGAAGAGGCGUUUGAGUUUUCUGCGUAAUCAAAGUCACCGUCAAGAUUGGUUCAAGAUGUUGGGUUGAGUGAUGCAACUCAGUUGACUUGGGGACUUGUGAAUGACAUGUAUAAGAUGGAUCUAAUUCUGGUGCAUUCACCACAUCUGAUUAGAUUUAGCCUGUAUUUAUGUAUCCAAUAUGCUCAAGGAGAUAGAGAACGAUGCUUGGUUUGAAGAUCUAAGAGUUGACAUGAAUAUGAGGGGUGAAGCUAAAUUAUUGACAAAAGAUUGGGAGGGAGCUAUUGUUGCUGAUAUAAAAUCCAUUGCAAAAAUAUCUCCUCGGAAUUUGGGUGUAGGAUUCAAAUAAAUCUGCUUCUCUGGUAUCUGUCCCUACUUCUUGCUCUGUUGUAGUUAUGGUUUGUACCAAAGGCCAUUGCUUUUUAGAUCUCCUCACAAAGUCUAGGAGUUCAAUGAAGGUAUGUUGACUACAUCUUUUUUAUGACAAUUUUGUCUUUUGGUUUAGUCUCUACUCCUGCGCCUCAUGCGGUCUUGCCCCUCUCCGAUAGUAAGUACCUCACAAUUUUAGCUACUUUUUCUAUCUCAUAACGUGCUUAAUCUGCUCUCUAGAUCUCUUUAUCUCAUUAUUAUGUGACUGGAGUGUAAAAAUCAUUUGCCUUUGUUACUGUGUCACCAUGCCUCUCACACUAUAAUUGUCGAAUUUGUUAAUAAUUGUUUUAUCUCAAUAGAACAAUGGAUUUUUUUUAAAAAAAGGAAAUCUGAUUGCUACUCUAUGUUAUCAUUCAUCAACCACAAUCGAUUUGUUUUAUCACUAGCUAAUUGUAAUUUAUUUGUUUUUAAAAAAAAAUUCUAAUUGAUUCUGUCCCAAUUUUUAAUUUCAUGAUUAGAGUAAAGUUAGUGAGAGUGGUUCAUCCUGUAAGGUCACUGCCUCAAGUAUUAGAUUAUUGCGCUUGAUGCACAUGUAUGGAAUAUAAAUUACAAGUAUCAUCACUAAUUUAAUAAAAAAAUGUAUUUUAAAUGAUUUUAAUUAUAGUUAGGUGUUACUUUGGGGAUAACAGAUCUCUUGCCAAUGACAUCCGAAAAGAAAUGAAGGUAUUAAAUAGUAAAUUGUUGAAAGCUAAAGAUAAAAACACAAAGAGGGAAAUCCAUAAAAACAUAGGAUUCUUUCAAAAGAAGAAGGAAAAAGGCAACAACUUGUUGUGACAAAUGUAAUUAAAAAUUCAUUUGUCAUCCUAGCAACUCUCACAGGUUCAUCAUCAAGAAAAUUAGAUGGAAUUUCAUUUGAUUUAGUCAUUAUUGAUGAAGCUGCUUAGGCCUAGAGAUUGCUUGUUGGAUUGCUCUUUUCAAGGGUUCAAGGUGCUUACUUUCAGGAGAUCAUUUACAACUUCCUCCGACAAUUUGAAGUGUUGAAGCUGAAAAAAAGAGAUUAGGAAACACUCUUUUUAAACGUCUUGCAGAUUUAUAUGGAGAUGAUGUCAUGUCUAUGAUGACUGUGCAAUAUAGCAUGCAUGAACUUAUAAUGACUUGGUCUUCUAAAGAGCUUUACAACAAUAAGACUAAAGCUCAUGCAAGUGCUGUUGGACAUACCCUAUAUGAGCUUGUAGCUGUUGAGAAGUCUUCUUCUUCCACUGAACCUACUCUUCUUCUCAUAGACAUUGCGGGGUGAGAUAUGGAAGAAAAGAAGGAUGAAGAAGAAAGCAUAUUGAAUGAAGGUGAAGCUGAGAUUGCUAUAGCACAUGCAAGAAGGUUGAUUCAAAGUGGUGUACAUGCUUCUGAUAUUGGAGUCAUUACCCCUUACUCAGCACAAGUAAAGUAGAAUUUCGUUUUGGUUUAAUGGAAUUAAGGAACGGAAUGGAAUCGUUUAUUCCAUUGGAAUGGAAAUAACUUCUUAGAUUGUGUUGCUAAGAGUGUUGAGAACAAAGGAUGACAAGUUAAAGAAGUCUUUUAUUGUUACACUUCAACUUGCAUUAACAAAGAGAUAUAUGUUGUUCCAAGGUUUUCAAUAGUUCUUUUAUAUAUAUUAUUAUAAUGUUCGGUUAAA